UAUUAAUGAUGUUAAUCAAAUGUCUGACCUGAACUAAGCAUGUAGACAAACUUAACACUGAAUGA